rnacentral:lncRNA from 1 species
UUCUUCUCCUCCUUCUUGGCCUCGACCUUCUUCUCCUCCUUCUUCUCCUCCUUCUUCUCCUCCUUCUUUUCAGAGGAGGCGCCCUUGAGCCUGAUGUCCACCAAGCCCUUGAACUCGCCGGUGAUCUGCACGGCGCUGCCGGAGGAGUACAGCUGGACCAUGCGCUUGAAGUCGCGGCGGAACUCGUGCUUGAUCUCGCCGCCGGUGCGGAUGCGACGCGUGAGCAUCUUGUACUCGGCAACGCCCCCCGGCGUCAUCUCGACCUCGCCCUUCCACACGUCGCCCUCUG